rnacentral:rRNA from 1 species
CCUACGGGUGGCAGCAGUGGGGAAUAUUGCGCAAUGGGCGAAAGCCUGACGCAGCGACGCCGCGUGAGGGAUGAAGGUCUUCGGAUCGUAAACCUCUGUCAGCAGGGAAGAACGGUCACUGUGCUAAUCAGCAGUGAAUUGACGGUACCUGCAAAGGAAGCACCGGCUAACUCCGUGCCAGCAGCCGCGGUAAUACGGAGGGUGCGAGCGUUAAUCGGAAUUACUGGACGUAAAGCGCUCGUAGGCGGUAUGUCAAGUCAAGGGUGAAAUCCCCGCGCUCAACGUGGGAACUGCCUUUGAAACUGGCAAACUGGAGUGUGUGAGAGGAUAGUGGAAUGCCAGGUGUAGGAGUGAAAUGCGUAGAUAUCUGGAGGAACAUCAGUUGCGAAGGCGACUAUCUGGCACAUAACUGACGCUGAGGAGCGAAAGCGUGGGUAGCAAACAGGAUUAGAUACCCUUGUAGUC